rnacentral:rRNA from 1 species
UAGGGAAUCUUCGGCAAUGGACGAAAGUCUGACCGAGCAACGCCGCGUGAGUGAGGAAGGUCUUCGGAUCGUAAAGCUCUGUUGCCAGGGAAGAAGGGCGAGGAGAGUAACUGCUCUUCGCUUGACGGUACCUGAGAAGAAAGCCCCGGCUAACUACGUGCCAGCAGCCGCGGUAAUACGUAGGGGGCAAGCGUUGUCCGGAAUUAUUGGGCGUAAAGCGCGCGCAGGCGGUUCUUUAAGUCUGGUGUAUAAGCCCAGGGCUCAACCUUGGGACGCACGGGAAACUGGGGGACUGGAGUGCAGGAGAGGAAAGUGGAAUUCCACGUGUAGCGGUGAAAUGCGUAGAGAUGUGGAGGAACACCAGUGGCGAAGGCGACUUUCUGGCCUGUAACUGACGCUGAGGCGCGAAAGCGUGGGGAGCAAACA